rnacentral:rRNA from 1 species
UACGGGGGGGGCAAGCGUUGUUCGGAAUUACUGGGCGUAAAGGGCUCGUAGGUGGCCAACUAAGUCGAACGUGAAAUCCCCAGGCUCAACCUGGGAACUGCGUCCGAUACUGGCAGGCUUGAAUCCGGGAGAGGGAUGUGGAAUUCCAGGUGUAGCGGUGAAAUGCGUAGAUAUGCGGAGGAACACCAAUAGCGAAGGCAGCUCGCUGGGACGGUACUGACGCUGAGGCGCGAAAGCGUGGGGAGCGAACAGG